UGGGGAAUCUUGCGCAAUGGGGGAAACCCUGACGCAGCGACGCCGCGUGCGGGAUGAAGGCCUUCGGGUUGUAAACCGCUUUCAGCAGGGACGAGGCCUUAUGGUGACGGUACCUGCAGAAGAAGCUCCGGCUAAAUACGUGCCAGCAGCCGCGGUAAUACGUAUGGAGCAAGCGUUAUCCGGAUUCAUUGGGCGUAAAGCGCUCGUAGGCGGUCUGUUAGGUCGGCAAGUUAAAUCCGGGGGCUCAACCCCCGUCCGCUUCCGAUACCGGCAGACUUGAGUUUGGUAGGGGAAGGUGGAAUUCCUAGUGUAGAGGUGGAAUGCGCAGAUAUUAGGAAGAACACCGGUGGCGAAGGCGGCCUUCUGGGCCAUAACUGACGCUGAGGAGCGAAAGCUAGGGGAGCGAACAGG
rnacentral:rRNA from 1 species